GGCACCGGAACAAAUCGGAACAGGGUCUGUUCGUGGGGGCGGAGCCUGUCGCAACCCUGGUCCUUUCCACAAGCUCCAAGAUCGUGACACCGCCCAGGAGGCGGGCACUCAAGCCGAAGGUAUACUGGAGUCUGUUGCUAGUUCUACAUUCCUAAACUGUGGAGAAGAUGGUUUUCCAUUUGUACCAGUUCAUGGCCUGCUUCUCAGGUCCAUGCCUUUGCUCCAUGUCACUGACAAGCCAAGACCUGCAAGUUAUAUUCUCUGACUUCUCCAUGAGUGAGAAGAGGUUGGAAGCAAAUGAAGGUCAUUAUGCCAGAGGGACACCAGAGGGGAAGCCCAGAGCUUCAGACGCCAAUGAGAGAUUGGAAGGCAAUAAGAUACUGGGGCCCAGGAAGAUGAAGAUGUUCCAAGUUUACCAGGUUAGUGGCAGAACCAUUGCAAAUCUAAGCAGCCUGGCUCCAGAGCCUCCGAGCGCAGCCCCUGCAUCGUACAGCCUCUCAAGAUGUCAGCAGCGCACCCCAGACCUAAAGCAUCAGAUCCUCUGAGGGAGGGACACGGGAAUCUGCAUCGGAACAAAUUUCAAACAGGUGAUUCUGAUGCACAGCCAGAGUCAGACCUACGACUGUGGAUCUAAAACGUAGCAGCACACCCUGGGGCCACGUGACUAGAACAAAUAAGGCUGCUUCCUGGAUUUUCAAGUCUGUCUGAUCAUGUGAACACGAGGCCUGCUGAAUAAUGUUGAGUGAUCGUCUCCUUUUGUGAGGGGGGAACCCAAACCCCGAUCAAUCACAAAGAAGCCUCUGGAGAGCCGUGAGCAGAAGGCCAACUCAGGAGACUUGCCCAUUAGACAUUUUCCGAAGGGGCUGCAGCCACUGGCCACCGUCCUUGGAACUCUGUGUACCUGCCUAGUUCCUGGACUUUGAUCUCCCAUCUGACCUCCUUCUCACCCCUGCUCUGAUCUGACAACUCCUGCUGGGCUGACCCCAUCUCUGACCCCAGCCCGCCUGGGUUUUCAGUCUCACUGCUCCAGGCUGAUGUCUCACAGGAGGACAGCCUGAGGCAACACAAUAUUUGCAUUGACCCCCAAUAAUGGGAACAGGAUGCCCCCUCUUCUAAUGAUGUAAUGAUGAGUGGAAUAUUCAUGUCAAAAGACCUGUGACUUUCGGGGUGGAAUUCAAGUACUCUCACACCUAUUUUGUGACCAUCACUGAACGUGCAAUGUCAGAACAGUGAGAAAUAAACAGGCCUUCGUCCUAACUGAAGCGAUGUUCUUUCAUUCAUUCAGGAAAUGACUAUUGAGAGCCGAUUCCAUGACCGUUUCAGUGUCAGCACUGGGGACAAAAAAGAUAAACAAGAUGUUGUCUCUGCCCUCAAGGAGUUUCCGUAUCCCUGAUUCUGCUGUGAUCCAGAGAAGAUGAUGCAUCAAAGAUUAGCCAAAUAAUUGGUCCAAAAAGAAAAAAGGCUUCGAGAUUGCACUUUCAGAUAGGGAUGGCUCUAGCUUUGUCCAAGGUUCCGAAGUCUCUCAAUGACAGGACCUGCCUGUGGAAGUUUGGGGAAGCCAGUAAUGAGCCUCAGACACAAACACCUUUUAAAGACCUAGAUCUAUCUGUGCACCAGAGGUUUAGACCCAGGGGUUGGGUAGCCUUUUUGGUAGCCAUCAAAAGGGCUCAGGAUUGGGGCUUGGGCUACCCCAUUCUGUUCUUGCCUAUACUCUAGUUUGAUAUGUAAUCCUACACAAUUUAUGUUUCCUCUCUUCACCUCAGUCCUCUCAGGCCAUUUCUGUUCUCUCUGAAUGCCCAGCUGUUCAAAGAGUAUUUGAUAAAUGUCCGUUGAAUGAAUGAAUGAAUCUCUAAAGUCCCUUCUAGCUCUGAUGUUGUGAGUCUAUGAGCUGGAGACAUCUUUAGGAAAGAACAAGAUCGGCCAAGAAGAAAAAGUUUAGUCCCAUUUCUGAAGGACCCAAGGUCACACUCCAUUAUGCAAAUAUGAUCUGCUCCUUAUGGACAACUUCUCCUUCCUCUUCAUACCCUGCCUUCAUUUUUCAUCUCCUCUGCACAUAUUGUUGUGGGUUGAAUUAUGUCCCUCAGGAAGGGUAUAUUCAAGUCCUAACCCCCUGGUGAAUACUGGUGAAUAUGACCUUAUUUGGAACUGGGGUCUGUAGAUGUAAUCAAAUUAAGAUGAGUCAUGCUGACUGAGGCUGGGCCCUACUCCAAUAGAACUGGUGUCCUUACAAGAAGAGGAAAAUCGGGACAUACACCCACAGGGAGAGUGUCGUGUGAGGAUGGAGGCAGAGAGUGGAGGAAUGCGUUACAAGCCAAGGAGUGCCGAGCAUUGCCAGCAGUGACCAGAAGCCAGAAGAGAGGCAUUGAAUAGCUUCUUCCUUUGAGCCCCUGGGAAGAAACUGACCCUGUUGAGACCUUGAUUUUGGACUUCUGGCUCCUGAAAUAUGAGAAAUCUGUCUGUGUUGUCUUAAGCCACCUAGCGUGUGGUACUUUGUUAUGGCAGCCCUAGGAAACUAAUAUAGGUCUCUGAGGCCAUUAUCUGGAAAUCACGCCUCUGAUGCAUGUUAACAGAGCCCUAAAAAGCACCCAAGGCCCUGACGGCUCUCCAAAUGUUCACUGCAGAUGAGUCAUCGUUGUGCCUAUUGUGGAUCUCUGAAACCAAGAAGCCUGACACCCCCGUGGGGGAAGGAAAAAGGCCUUCCACACCAUUAGUUAGCAGGAAGAGAAUGCUGGGGGUGGGGAGGAGGGUUCCCAGCUGCUUUCCUUCCCCACUGGGGACAGCCCCCAGAAGGGGACUAUCAUCCCUAUUAAAUGUCACCGCCAUUCACUUUCAGUACUUCCAUAAGUGAAUGCGGGGCACUUAUGGUGGUGGGGGCUGCUGGGGAAGAGCAUGUGCAUGUAGACGGGGAGGUUGCUAAAAAAUUAGAACACACAUUCCAUGAGUACAAGCCACGCAGGAGUGGGAGGCUUGGGGCAUGGUGGGUGGCUAGGACGGACUCGAGAAUCAGGCCUGCUUGAAUCCCGGUCCCGCUAGGCCUUCCACUGUGA